rnacentral:lncRNA from 1 species
GUACAGUAGUCGGAAACGUUAAGUUAGUUUCCGCUAGCCCUUAUUUUCUAACUCUGUCGUCUCUUUCUCUGUAUCAGCCUAUUUUUCCAUAAUUUCUCGUCUCUUUCUCUAUAGCUCCGCCUCUCUCUCAACCGCGAUGGUCAAAAUCAACAUUGGGGAUCUCAUCAGGUACGCGAUCUCUCUCUCUUUCCCAUCUAAUCUUUGGCCAAGACUAGGGUUUGAGGCUGGAAUUGUUGGCUAGUUUGACGCUUGUCCUUGUUUAUGUGCUUUAUUUGAUUUUUUAUUCGUAUUGGGGUAGAGUGGGGCUGUGAUGUACUUUGAAUCUUUCGUAUUCAUAUUGUAUGAUUGGAAGCUGAUUAUCACAGCUUUAUUAGUAUUACACCUGCAUUUUUCCUCUUUUACGAUGAAGCCUAGUCGUAAAAUGGCCACAUAAAAGAGAAAGAUUAAAAAAAUGAAGGAAAUCUAUACAAUAAAAAGAAAGAGAUAGGAUAAAGUAACUAAAGAUUAUGGAAACUACCAGGGGAGGAUGUACGUGUUAGAUUUAGGUGCUCAAGCAUCCAUUAACAUUGACAGAAACUAUGUAUAGCUAUAUUAAAAAUAUACCAAAUGGGAUAUAAUAGUUUAGCCAACACCCAAUACACAAAAUGACUGAUGGGUGCAGUGGUUCUGAUGCAGGAAUAAAAUCCUUUGCUGAGUGCAAAACACCCAGGUUCGAAUCCUUGUCACAGCAAUUCUCAAUUACUUUUUGUAUUUUGUGGAAUUAUUUUUUAACUUUUCCUAUUCUCUUUAGUGGUUAUCAACGACGGCCUUUCUUUGCUUUUGACAUAAAAUUUCAUUUUCUGUCUUUUUUGCUCAUUUUCCUACUUUCUUUCACCUUUAUACUUUCUUAUAUCUUGUCAACGACCGCCUUUCUUUGCUUUUGACAUAAAGUUUCCUUCUCUAUCUUUUUUUCUCCUUUUCCUACUUUCUUUCACCUUUAUACUUUCUUAUAUUAAUUAUAUUUAGGAUUUAGGACCUUUAUUUUUGCCUUAUUUUUUUUUUUUUCCUAUUCUAAUUGUCUUAAAGUUAAAAAGAAAAGCCAAAAAACGUGGACUGUUCUCCCUUUCCAACAAGUUCUUUACCUUUUUUUAUUCAAUUAUUCUUUUUCUUGUUGACUAAACUUUCCUUUCAAUUAUUCUCAAAAAACCAAAAACCCUUCUUCUCGGCAAAGAAAACGCAGCCCACUUGUUCUCUCCGGUAAUUUCAAAAUCAGAACAUAAAUAAAAGGUAAAAGAAUUUGGUAUUUUAAAUUUUUCAUUCAACCUAGAAGAAACAGGAAUUGAGGUUUUCUCAUGCUUAAUUUCCAGAAAACUUUAAAAUUAAACCCUUCUUCAGUUUUUUACUUAUUAGGAACGCAGUGAAGGAAAAAUCGAAGAACAAAGUAGACGAAAUAGUUAGCAAACUCUCCUGUCAUUCACAACAAUCUCAAAACUAGAACAUAACACAAGAUAAUAACUAAUAAGCUUUGGUAUUUCUAAUAAAGUAAGAGAUUAUAAAUAUUCUGUGGAAGGGUUUUGAAUCCUUUUCAUGCUUAUUGUUUAAUGUUUAUUCUUUGAAAGCAAAUUCAAUGAAAAAUAUUGCAGUGUUGUUUGUGUUGUUGAUUGAGGGGGGUUUUCCCAAUAGAAAUUAAUUAACAAAAUGUGUAGUAAAUUUCGAUUGCUAAGAACUUUAUGUUGAAGGAAGUGAGCACCAUAUUAAUGUAAGAGAUUAUAAAUAUUUUGUAGAAGGGGUUUGAAUCCUUUUCAUGCUUAUUGUUUAAUGUUUAUUCUUUGAAAGCAAAUUCAAUGAAAAAUAUUGCAAUGUUGUUUGUGUUGUUGAUUGAUGGGGUGUUUUCCCAAUAGAAAUUAAUUAACAAAAUGUGUAGUAAAUUUCGAAUGAAAUUAAAUUGAACUAAAUCUUGUUUGUAGGAAUUCUUAAUCAAUAUUUUGUGUCGAGAUGGAUAAGUUUGUCACAAGAUCAAAAGUUGGGCAAUCAAGUUCUAGUUCUACUCAUUCAUCUGUUGCGUCAUCCGUAGCCCCGAAAAUUCAAAGGGAUAUAUCUCUUUCAAAUCAUAAUUUAGGGUCUCCCAAUACUGACCCGGGGGAUAGGAAGUCCAUUGCACAAUAUAGCCCUAAUAUACGAGAUAAAACUAGACGGAAAUUCAAAAGGAUAUAUCUCUUUCAAAUCAUAAUUUAGGAUCUCCCAAUACUGACCUGGGGGAUAGGAAGUCCAUUGCAGAAUAUAGCCCUAAUAUACGAGAUAAAAUUAGAAGAUAUUAUAUUCAAAUAGGACCUUGCCAGCCUACGAGUCAUGAUUUUCCUAAAACUAAGUUUGGGAAGACAAUGCGUCAAUUUUAUCCUAGUUGGUUAAAGGGUCAACAUUCAAAGUGGUUGGAGUACAGUAUAUCAAAAGAUGCUGCAUAUUGUUUGUGUUGUAAUUUAUUCAAAAAUGAACAUGAAUUCGUGGAAAUAUGGGGAUGCUUUUACAAAAACUGGCUUUAGAAGUUGGACAAGGCUAUAGAAUGAUUUAAAGCUCAUGUUGGAGAGGUAGAUAGCAUCCACAACAAGUGUUUCAAAAGGAUGCUUGAUUUAAUGAAUCAAUCACAAUCAAUUCGCACUUCUUUUGAAAAGCAAUCUGAGAAAGAAAAAAAUGAGUCUUGACAUCGCUUGAGUGCUUCAAUCGAUGUUGCUAGGUUUCUUUUGAGACUAGGAUUGCCGUUUUUCGUGGGCACGAUGAGAGUCAAUCUUCAAUAAAUAGAGGUAUCUUUCUUGAAUUCUUGCAAUGGUAUGGAGAUAUUGCUCCAGAUAUUAGAAGUAUUAUAUUAGAAAAUUCUCCAAAAAAUGAAAUGAUGUGUUCCCCAAUGAUUCAGAAAGAUAUUUUUGAUGCUUGUGCCAAAGAAACAAUCAAAGCAAUCAUUAAUAACUUGGAUGGGAUUUUUUCGGGAUACUAGUUGAUGAAUCGAAGGAUAUAUCACACAAGGAGCAAACGGAACUUGUUUUGAGAUAUGUUAACAAAAAGGGCGAAGUAGUUGAGAGAUUUGUUGGUAUUGUUCAUGUCAAUGAUACAUCUGCUCAAUCAUUGAAGAAGGAAAUCGACUCUUUUCUUUCGUAUCACUCAUUAAGUCCCUCUCAAAUACGUGGGCAAGGUUAUCAUGGAGCUAGUAACAUGCAAGGAGAGCUACGUUGUCUUAAAACUUUGAUUCUGAAUCAAACUCCAUCGGCGUAUUGCAUUCAUUGUUUUGCUCACCAAUUGCAAUUAACACUUGUGGCUCUUGCAAAGAAGUAUUCAGAUGUAGGUGACUUUUUCAGUAUAGUUACUAGUGUGUUAAAUAUUUUUGGAUCAUUUUUUUACCGUAGAGAUUUGCUUCGACAACAUCAAGCUGAAAAGUUAGAGGAGUUGCUCAUAUCAGGUGAAGUACAUACUGGACGUGGACAAAAUCAAGAACGUGGGAUUUAACGACCAGGUGAUACUUGUUGGGGUUCUCAUUAUAGAACGUUAGAUAACCUCAUUGUCCUAUUAUCAUCAAUUGUUCAUGUUCUUGAAUUUGUUACUCAUGAAGGUCCAAAUUAUGCUGAUAGACUUGUUGCUGAAAGUCUUAUGACUAAGAUUAAGGAAUUUAAAUUUGUUUUUAUAUUGCACUUGAUGUGGAAAGUUCUAAUGAUGAUAAAUGAUUUGAGCUCCUCAUUACAAAGGAUGGAUCAAGAUAUUGUCAAUGCUGUGGGACUCCUCACUCAUACAAAGCAAAGAUUACAACUUGAGCUCCUCAUUACAAAGGUGGAUCAAGAUAUUGUCAAUGCUAUGGGACUCCUCACUCAUACAAAGCAUAGAUUACAAAGGAUGAGGAAUAGUGAAUUUCAAUCAUUGAUAAUGAUCCCAAAGAUGGAUGCUCUCUAUUUUCCUGGGAUGUCAAAGCGUAGAGCUCUUGAUGUUACAUACUCUCAUCACUUGCACGUUGAGAUAUUUAAUGGUGUUAUUGAUUUACAUCUUCAAGAGCUUAGAAGUCGUUUUGAUCGUAAGUACCGACUUACUUCUCGGUAUGGCUAGUUUAAAUCCACUUAAUUCAUUUGAUAAUUUUGAUAACAACAGGGUAAUGAAGUUGGCUCAAUAUUAUCCGAAGAUUUUGAUAGUAACAAGCUCCGGCAUCUUAGUUUCCAGCUUGAUAGUUUUAUAGUUUAUGCUCGUGGUCAUGACAAGAGGUUCUUCAACAUGAAAGGAAUUAGUGACCUUUCUAAAGUGUUGGUUAAGUACGACCUGUAUCAAACUUGGCCACUAGUGUAUUUACUUAUCAAGUUGACUCUCAUUCUGCCUGUUGCUACCGCUUCUGUGGAACGUGCUUUCUCAUCCAUGAACUACAUUAAAAAUGAGCUUUGUAAUAGCAUAGGUGAUGGAUUUUUAAAUAGUUUAGUUUGUUAUGUAGAGUGUAAGAUAUUUUCCACUAUAAACAACGAUGCCAUUAUUCAUCGUUUUCAACAUAUGAAAAGUCGUCGAUCACAGUUGUGAAUUAUGACUAGAAGUUAUUUUGGAAAUGAUAAAUAUUAUUUGUAGUUUUCACAUUAAGUCUUUUACUCUUGCAUUCGAAUAAUUGUGCACUUAAAGGAAAGUGAGCACCCACGACCUUAAAUCCUAAAUCCGCCACUGGAAACUACAAAUCACUUUUGAUGAGCCCGUUUCCUUUCUUUUAUUAUAGGCUUAGGAAUUGUUGGUAUUGUACGUAUUGGGCUGGUUGAAAUUAGGGCUUAUGAUUCUUUCUAUUUUUGGGAUGAUCUUUGAGCAUUGAGAUGACCUGACCCGUAUCUUGGUGUGGCAACCCGGUAUGGCUGUGUAUGAUUACUCCUCUCACAUGCAUUCUUUGUCAGCAAAAGAUAUAGCCCUCUAAGCAACUUUUCAACGGCUAAUUUUGUCAGCAAAAGAAAUUCUCAAGUCGAUUUUGUGAGGACUAACUGAAUACUGAUCUAUCCCAAAUAAUAGUCGUUAAAUUGGAACCUUGGAAUAUCUCUAAUUAAAUACAUGUUACUCAGAACUAUGUACCAAAACCAAUAAAGUAAACGAGACGUGUGAUUGAGUAGUAGCUGCAUUUUUUCUCGCAGAAUUCUAAGUCCUAAACCUGUGCCUCAGCUAAAAAUGAAAGAUUGUUGAAAAGUGAGUCUUUAGAAGUCCUAAAACUGUGCCUCAGGUAAAAAUGAAAGAUUGUUGAAAAGUGAGUCUUGAUAAUUUGAAUGUUAAAGCUAAAUGAACGGUUGGAAGUUCAUUUUUUAAUUUAGGGGACAAGUAAUUGUGGAAUGUUUUAAAUGGAUGUUUCCACUUAGGGAAUUAAAUGCUUUUUAACGGGACAAAUUUUAGUUCUUCAAGCUGACCUCUUUCUAACCACAUCUUUAUAAAAUAACUUCACUCAUCUCGUCUUCAUGUACAUCUCUUGUGUGGUCAGACCCUCCUUCUGGAUUUUUUGUUGCAGAUGACAUCUUGGACAAAGUGUCCUGAUUAUGUGUUAAAGGGUUCAAAUUUUCCCGAAUUUUAGCUCCAGCAACAGUGAUAUUGAUAUUAGCUGGGACGGAGUUACUGGAUUGCUCUUUCUCAACCAACAAUAAUUUCCCCUCCAUAUUAUUUACUAUUGUGAAGUCACUACCCUCAGAUUAUUGCACACCUUGAACACCAGACUUAACCCCAGGAGUAGAUCGAUUAUCAAUGACCAUAACAUCAAAAGAGUUUGAGACUCCAAUGACUGAUGACGAUAGAAUCUGACUUUGGAGACCUGGAGUUUGCUUCUUGCUAGGUGAUUUAUUCACCACUGUCCAGUUAUUGCUCUUUUUAUCUACUUUAUGUGGAGUAGCAGCAAAUUUUCUUUGAGUAUUAAAUGCCUUCCCCUCCACAUGUACUACUGUAGUCCUAGUAUCAGAAGAAUUUUCAAUUUGUUCACCAGGUACAACAGUAGGUCGUUUCCCCUGCAUAGCAGAUAUGUUCUCUUUCUCAUGGACAGACUGUUGUACAUUGUCUUCUCCAGCUUUUACAUUUUUCACAUCUUGAAGUUCAGAAUUUGGUGCAGCAUCUACCUUCAAUUGCCUAGCUACUUUAACAGUUGGAUCAAUAGUUGGUCGAUCUACAGUAUGAGUCAUUGCAUCAGUAUGCAAAACUACAGCUGAAUUUGCCAUAUUCCCCAACUUGGAAUAUGGCAAGAGGGGUUGCUUUGAUGGUAAGCAACCCCCACUUCCAACUGAGAGGUUGUGAGUUCGAGUNNNNNNNNNNNNNNNNNNNNNNNNNNNNNNNNNNNNNNNNNNNNNNNNNNNNNNNNNNNNNNNNNNNNNNNNNNNNNNNNNNNNNNNNNNNNNNNNNNNNNNNNNNNNNNNNNNNUAUUUGGAAAUAGCCUCUCUACCCCAGGGUAGAGGUAAGGUCUGCGUACAUACCACCCUCUCCAGACUCCACUAUGUGGCAUUAUUCUAGGUUGUUGUUGUUCUUGAUGUUGUUGUACACCUAGUACCCUGAGCCAGAGUACCCUGCUAAAACCCCUGCUCCCUUUCAGCUUCAUCAUACUCCAACACAUCUUCCUGUAGUUGCAACAGUACAUAAACUUUUCCUUGUUCUUAAACCUAUCAUGCAGAUGGUACUACUUGCAGCUGAGAAUAGUUACUACUUGCAGAUGGUAUUUGUUAGGAUGAUUUUGGCAUGAGUUAGUUACUAGUCAAUGUGUAACUUAGCUCCUUGAGUAGUCGGUUACAACGUUAUUACGAUUGUACAUACAACUACCUCUAAUGUUAUAAAAUAUGUUAGCUUUUUAUAAUUUCUCUGUCAUUUCCAAGUUAUAUGCAUUUGAAGAACUAUUUCUUCGGUUGAAUUCUAGCAAAGACAUGUGUUCUUUUAGAAUGAAUGAGCUAACAUAAUAUUUAUGUGAAUAGGGUCUUGAAUUCUCUUUUUGUAGUAGUGCUGAAUUGAGCAAGGAGGAGCAGUUUAAGAAAAAAGAAUGUGUGUUAGAAAGUAGUUAAAUAACUUGGUCAUAAUUUUAGCUUUAAGGAUGGGAUGCAAUUUAAAGCAUAAAUUGAUCGGGUCGGGUAGUAUCUUUAACGGCUCUUCCGAUAGCUUCGAUCUUUUACCUUUUUUAGCACCCGUUUCUUUAAUUUAAUAAGAGUUAUGUUGAUAUGACUAAUCAAUUCUGGGCUGCUUAUAAGAAAUGUUAACUUUUUCAUAUAUUGGACUCAUAAUAGUUACUACUAGUUAAUCGUUAUAAGAUUUAUGCACUCUUCACUUGAGACACAAUGUUAUCGAAGUGGCAUUUAUUUGGACAUUAUUAGAAAAAUUACAUUUGAUUUGCAGAAAAAGUUAAAAGGGGACCACAGUCUGAUGCUGAUAUCUUUGCGGAGACACAUAAGAAAGAGAAGAAAGAUGGUUUAAGACUAUUUUCAGAGUUUUUAGCGAAAGUUGUCCCUUUUUUUUUGGCGACCGCUAGGCAAAGCCUAUGGUUAAGAUUUUAUUAAUAACAGAAAAUUAAAAUUACAAUAUGAAAAACAUGAUCAUGCAGAUGAAAUUUGAUCGUUCCCGAGUUUAUAAUUUACUCUGUCAUGAUGUUACAUUUGAGGAAAUUAAGACGGUUGAAUAAAGUUAUGAUGAAGCGACGGGUGUCUUCGUAAUUCAUGCUUUGUUAUUUGUUCUUUGAGUCAACUGUUUUUGUUUUGCGAUUCUCAUUGGGAAGCGUCUUAUUUUUCCGAUAGCAUCUUUACAUUGAGAUAACUGUUUUUGUUUUGCGAUUCUCAUUGGGGGGCGUCUUAUGUUUCCUUCUUCUGUCACCCUGCCGUCCCAGCUUCUAUCUCUUUGACGACAUUUCUUAUUUGUUUUGCUGUGCAUUGGUGAUAAAUCGCCUUUUCUUACAGCAUCUUUACGACAUUGCAUUAACAUCUCUUCUUCCUCCCCUUCUUCAUAUGUAUGUGUUGCUUCCUUAUUAUUCUGGAACUGUCUUUGUUCUGAAGAUAUUUGCAUAGUAGAUGAUUCAUACUGAUCUUGUCGCUGUCCAGUAUGUAUAGGUGUAAUAUGCUUUUGUCCACUGUUUUGCUGUACUGUUUUUUUUACAGUAGUUGAAGAUUCAACCACGAGUUGGAUCACGUUUUUUGCAACUAUCCAUUACAAAACAAAGAAUUCCGUUCUUACAAGUAAAUACUCAAGACCCAACUUCGGUCGCCCUGUCGUCCCAGCUUCUAUCUCUUUGACGACAUUUCUUAUUUGUUUUGUUGUGCAUUGGUGAUAAAUCGCCUUUUCUUGCAGCAUCUUUACAACAUUGCAUUAACAUCUCUUCUUCCUCUCCUUCUUCAUAUGUAUGCGUUGCUUCCUUAUCAUUCGGGAACUGUCUUUGUUCUGAAGAUACUUGCAUAGUAGAUGAUUCAUACUGAUCUUGUCGCUGUCCAAUGUGUAUAGGUGUAAUCUGCUUUUGUCCACUGUUUUGCUGUACUGUUUUUUUUUUCCAGCAGUUGAAGAUUCACCCACGAGUUGGAUCACACUUUUGUGCUGUUUCUUUUUGGUCGUUCUUUGUAGUUGCUAUCCUUGAAUCAUCUGUUGUUGUAUUGAACUUUGGGUUGUAAGCUGGAGCAUUAUGAUUUAACAAGUGGUUUGAGUUUGCCCCAUAUGGAUUUUUUGCAUUCCAGAUUACAAUUGCAGCCUUUUCUUUAGAAUACAAGUCUUCUGUUGAGCUGUCGUAAUCACCUUCUUGAUCUUCCUCUGCUGACGAAGAACCAGUAGAGCCUUCUUCCCAACUCUCUUCAUCAUCACAUUGUCGUUGGUCCCAAAGUUUCGAUUUAAUUACCAACUCCCUCAUGUUAGCUAAAACUAGUUGUUUGUUCUCUCCAUUGAAUAUUAAAAAAUCUUCGUGAUCCUUGUUCUCUAUAUAUGUAUAGGGAAAGGUAGGAUAACUUUUGACAGUCUGAAUCUUCCCUCCAGCAACCAUUCCCUGUGAUCCUUGUUCUCUAUAUAUCUACAGGGAAAGGUAGGAUAACUUUUGACUGCCUGUAUCUUCCCUCCAGCAACCAUUCCGGAUGAAUUGGAGCUUAAUAUUAGAGCUGUAUUUUCCUCUGCGAUCUGCUUGCUUUGUUUGAAACCAACUGGCUGAUACGAUAUAUUCUCAGUGUGAUCUUUGUCCAGUGCAUCCCUGUUUUUUCCAAUUGUUUGAGCAGGCAUAACAACAUUGUCAACCAUCUGUCUAGACAGCUGCUGCUUAGUCAGUUCUUCAGAUUUCCAGUUCGAUUUCAGUUUUUCAGAUUCUGCAUCAACUGAACCUUAGUUCUGCAUGUUGUUCCGCUGCUGCUUUCCUUCAAAACCAUUCAUCUUCCAAUCUUGUGCAUACUGAUUGUGAACUGGAAGGUCAGUAUGAUUAGUAGCAGGUUCAUUGACCUUAUUGUGUAUCAAAAUAUGUUGUUUAGACAGUAAAGGUUGACUCUUGUUUGCAUUGUGAUGUGCAGCCUCAGCAGAUGAAGCAGCCUAAGCAGAUGCAGUAUAACUUUGAUCCUUCUCAGCAAACUGUCCAUCGUCUUCUCUGGCAAUUGCAAGCGCGACAAAAGAGUUGGAGCUUGAUGCUAUAACUGGACUGUUAUCAGUAAUUUGUGAAUUGACAUUAAUUUCCAAUUUGUCAUUACUGAUUUGCCUCGUUGACCAGUUGUUUCUUUCACUGUUUUGUCCAUUUGCUGUUAAGUUCAAACUAUUUUGUUGAACCAUCUCAGUCUGGAGACUUGAAAUCUGUCGAGAGGAAUUUUGUAAACUGUGAAAAUCUGAAGGAUGUGCAUCUAUUUUGUUGAAUCAUCUCAGUCUGGAGACUUGAAAUCUCUCGAGAGGAAUUUUGUAAACUGUCAAAAUCUGAAGGAUGUGCAGACUUUUGAAUGAGAUCAGAAUUUUGUUGUGCAGUUGCUGAUAUGUUCAAGAUGCUUUGGUGCACCAUCUCUGGCUUGUGAGAUGUAUCCUAUCUAGCUAAAAACUGCGCAAUAUCAUCCCUCUCAAUGAUAGCUCGCUCUGCAACAGUGUCCAUUGUGGAUUCCAUCACUGGCAGUUCUUCAUUAAGCAAAAACCUGGUGGAGUUGUUGUUCCCCUCUGCUGAAUUGGGAAUUGCAGAAGUAGUCAAAAUCAAUGUAUUACUCAAUUCAAUGCUUUCUUGUUGCCCAGAUGAAACAGUAGAUUCCAUUAGACUUGGCUGGGCAGUAUCAACAUUCUGUCCUGCAAGUACUUCUGCAGUUAGAAUGUUAGUAGCAGAAACAACAGCAUUUUUCGAAUGCACAACAGUCCUAGCCAUAUCAAAUUGAUCAGAGUCUCCCCUAUCCUUCACAGUCGUUUUAAAAGUGGCAGCAGUCAGUUUCUUUUCAUCUUGUACCAAACAUAUUUGUGCAUCAGCAUCAAUUGGACCAGUCACUGCUUGUGCAUUGUGAGAUAGCAGCUGUGAAAAAUUUGAUAAUUCGACUCCUGAGUUAUCAACUUUUUCUUGUACUUCUUUAAGUCCUUGUCCAGAUCGAUUAGCAUUUAGAUAAUCCCUUGCAUCCCCUUGUAAUUUGUCAAAACCACCGACCUCGGGACCAGGCAGACCACUGCCUUGCUUUUCCUCUGCCUGCACCUCUGCGAAAGUUGUCCCUUAUCUUCGGGAGUAGAUCUAAUAUUUUCCUCAUACUUCCUUGAGGCACAUUGAAACUUGCCAUUUUUAAAUAGUACAUUUCAUUCAUUCUUAGUUUUAUCACAUGCUUCAAUUUCUCUUUUGUGUCCAUCUUCCAAAAUGGUUUCUCUUGUAUGAAUCAAUAAAAUAGUUUUUAAAAUAACCAUUAAUUGAUCACUCUAAAAAUAGAAGGACCUGAUUGAUUACUUCCUUGUUAAAUAAACUUUGUUGAAAUCAACCAAUUUGAUCUCAUAAACCACAAAGUUUGCAGUAGAUAAAGGAUAAUUUUG